GGUUUCCGCCUUCUGCCUCUUCCGCUGGUCUGUCUGUCUGUCUGUCGCCACGCCAGGAGCACACCGUUCAGCUGCCACAGCUUCAGAGCGAGUUUUCACAUCCGGCCAGUGACAUUCGCCAUGGUUGCUCUUUCUAAAGCCAUCUUGACAAUUUUUGCAGAUGGAUUUUUCCACCUGAACAUCAGAAUCAGAUGGUCCGGUUUCAAAAACAUUUGAAACAAAAUGGAGAUUUGGUCCAGUUUUUAAAGAAAUGACACAAAGCCAAACUCGGAACCUUGUUGGGCUUCUGAAUGGAACAGAGUAAGUAUCUUAAUCCUUGCGGCUCUGGCCAACGGUGAUGAUAAAGCCUCCUUCUCGGAGAACGUGACCCUCCGUCUGCUCAGGACUUGACGGAGCUCUUCAAUGGCGUCUCAUCACUUUUAGCACAGAGAUCCUGCCUUUUCCUUUAAACUGACUUCUAAGUAUUCACGGCUGGCUCACUGAGACGGGGGAAUGGGACGUGGCAGGCCUGGGAGAGGCAGAGCAAAAGCCACCACACGUGAUGGUGGAAGGAGGGUCUGGAAAGCGCUUACUCUGGGGGGCCAGUGGCUACAGUGGUUGGCAAGCCCAGCCAGCCGAGAGUCCCAGAGCCAAUUUCAGCUUUGAGCAAAAUGUUCCACUAGACCCCUUCGAGCUCAAACUUGCUGUCCCACUGCACUUGGGGUAUCAGGAUUCAUCUGGAAUUUGCUAGGCUGGUGGCAGCAUUAAAGGGUGGGUUUCUCCCCCUGCCCCCAGCAUACCCCAUUCUUGCAGCAACUGGUAGCACUUUUAAAACUCCUGGGGCCCUUUAAGACUUAAAGGGUAAGAUGACAGCUUUGACAGGGCAACUUGAGGGCCUGAAGAGGUCUGAGGCUGAAGCUGGACGCCUUGGAUAGAACCUUUGGGUUUUCUGCAUCCUGCAGGUCUGCAGUGUUGCCUGCUUCUCACACUGAGCAUGUUCUGGAAGCAGGGGGACCCCAAUCCUUGCAGGUGGCCAGCCAUCUGAAAGAGCCCUCCCGGCUGGGGCAGAAGCACUAGCAUUUUCUUUGCUCUCACCUGUGCCUCUCAGACCUUCUCUGCUGGGCCUCCUUCCUGCCCCCACGAUCUGUCCAGCAGGCCCACAGCUGUACCCCAAAAGAUAGUGUGGGUUCAGUCUAACACGACACGAGCAUGCAAGGUUCAGGUCAGGAACGCUUGGUAACUGAGUGCAGGCCACCGACCGUUCAUUUCAGAGCUAUUUAAUGUGCAUUCUCCAUGUGCAGGACUCUGUGUGCCAGCUGCUGGCAGCUGAGCUGGGAACAAGGCAGACACAGCCCUUGUCCCCGGGAAGAUGUCAGGACACCUGAGCAAGUAAUUGCAAGACAGUGUGAAGACGCUGUAAAAGGGGAGUGCCCGGUGCCGUGUGAGCGUGCGGGGUGAGCAAUGGCACGUCUGGGGAGCCUGCUCGGAAGAAGCGAAGCUUACACUGGGGUCUAAAAGAGAUACAGGGGUUAGAUGAAGAGGGAGAGGAGAGCCCUGGGGAUUGCAGGAGAAACAUCCCCAGGCUUUGUCAACGUAAGGCCAGACAUUAAGAUGGUUGGUGACUUGAGUUUUUAUCUUUUUUCUUUUAACGCUGACACUUAGCUUUCUGUACAAACACCCGAGGGAGCCACCCCGACGAUUCGCGUAUAAACACCCAAGUGCGAGGCGGAUUUUAGCUAUCAGAUUCCACCCUAAGUGGGGACACUCCCAGACUGAAAUGGAUGCCUGUCUACACCUGGGGUGUCUACACCUGGUAGGUGGGACCUCGAGUCAUACACGAGCAAUGCUGAUUUUGUCCAGAAGGAAAGCGCAUGGCAUGUGCUGUUCUCUCGCAGGGACAUAGAAAGACCCUCCUUUCGAGAGGCUGGUCACAGCCACUGUUCUGACAAGACCCUGAAGUUCUUGGUCAAGCCCCACCAGAUCAAAGGGAUGUAUUUCUCUUGACCAAAAAAAGAAUUUUUCCUUAUCAAAAAAAGGGGUCAAAAUGGGACAACCUAGUGGAGACCGCUGCUUCUCUCCCCCCUGUUGAACCCAGGGUGUCGUCUAGUUACGGGGUCGGGAGAAGCGUGUUUUCUAAGCUGGGGAAACGCAAGGUGUGGGAGCCAUCCUGUGGAUCCCCGACUCUGUCCGCAUUUUCAGGAGACAGAUGUGAGUGCACUUGGAGAGUCACAACGGCUGCUCUCUGGCCCGCCAGCUCCCUGCCCCUUGGGUGUGGUCUCAGAAGGAAAAGGGAGCUGUGCCCAAAGGAACAAAGUGACCUUAAAAUGAAUCCAUGUGGAACACCGCCGGAGAAGCACAAACGACACAGAAUGUGGCGCAUCUCCUUACAAGGUAAGAGGAUGGGUCCGGGCACGCCUUGGGUGCCAGCGCCAACCCUGCAGACACUGUUGUGUGGCCUCAGGCGAGCUGCCUCAUCCCUUCACGUCUGAUCUUCAAAGUGGAGAUAAUGACCCUUGACCUCACUGGGCCCUUGGGAAGAUGAAAGGAUCAGACUUGUCAAGCAAAGUGCAAAGUGGUUCCUCAAUAAAUGCAAUUAUUGUUACCGUCAUUGUGUUUAUAUUACCUUUGGCUUAGAAAGCUGCAAAUUGGCUAAAUAACUAAACACAGUCAUGAGUCGCUUAAGGACAAGGAUACAUUCUUAGAAAUGAGUCAUUAGGUGAUUUCAUCAUGUGACCAUCACAGAGGGCACUUACACGAACUGAGAUGGUAGAGCCUACGACACACCUAGGCUGUCUGGUACUAAUCUUACGGGACCGCCAUCCUACAUGCAGUCUAUUGUUAAUGGAAACAUCGUGAUGCAGCGCAUGACUGUGUGUAAAAUGGUUUAGACUCUAUCUUAAAAAUAAUUCAUAACAAACCUCUUAAUCUCAAGUUCAUGCGCCCCAUGCCCAGCAAGCCAAACACUGAGACAUCGGUGCUUGAAGAUGGAGAAAGGUUUAUGCGAGUUGGCCAACAUGAGUAGGCGGGAGCCUGGGCUCGCUCAAAUCCGCCUCCCCAACAGCAGAAAGCAGGGGGGUUUAUAGAGCUAAGGGGCUUGGUGGGAAGAGCUUCCGGGAAACAUAGGGGUCACUCUGGCUAAGCCCCUGGGCAAUGUGACUUCUGGGCUGACGGGGCUGAUGGGGGCUGGCCAUCCAGUGACGGCAACCUCCCCAAAGGCAUUCUCUUUCUUCUGCAAAAGAAACUCACAAAUCUUCAAGACCCCUGAGUCACCCUCAAGUUAAACAGGAAGACAGCAAAUUGACAAGACUCAGCUACGUCUGUGCUGGAACAAGAUCAAAGGGCAAUUCUGUUCUUACUGAGUAUCUACAGUAACCCUCAGGUUCCCGGCUUCAUAAUCUCUAUGGAUCACUUGGCAGCAGUGCUGUAUCAGGACGCGGGAGCCCUUCGAAGGCCCCAUUUCACAUCAUACAUAUAUAGGGAAAGAUGUCUAUAUUCCUCGUUACAUUUCUGAAACAUUUGGAAAGGUUUUCUAAAACUUACAAAAUUUUGAGUCUCAUUUAACACAACUUGUUCAUUUUGUUUUUGUGAUUGUGUUUCCUAUAUUUGUGUGUACCCAUAAGGGUGGAGUUGAGUUCCAAUGGACUAAUUGACUUCAUAUCAUAUUUUAUAGACUUGUGCUAUCCAUUAGGGUAGCUAUUAGUCCCGUGUGGCUAUUAAAAUUUAAAUUAAUUAAAUUUAAAUAAAAUAGAUUGACGUC
rnacentral:lncRNA from 1 species